rnacentral:tRNA from 1 species
AUCAGAGUGGCACAACGGAAGCGUAGUGGGCCCAUAACCCACAGGUCGGAGGAUCGAAACCUCCCUCUGAUA